ensembl:ncRNA W05E10.7 ncRNA
GAUGAGAAGGUUGGUCGUUCUGCAAUGAUGAUGAAAUUACAAACACAAAAACACAUAAAACUAAAGAUCCCUUUACGCUCCAUUCUCAAACUAAAGAGUCAGCCAUCAACACAAAUUUGUUGGAUGACUGCGUCUGCUCCUACACGUCCAUCCAUCCUAUAUGUAAAAGGCAACCAGGUAUUGGCAGAUAUUGGAUACUGGAAGAGUCUCUCCCAGU